rnacentral:rRNA from 1 species
UACGGGGGGGGCAAGCGUUGUUCGGAAUUACUGGGCGUAAAGGGCUCGUAGGUGGCCAACUAAGUCAGACGUGAAAUCCCUCGGCUUAACCGGGGAACUGCGUCUGAUACUGGAUGGCUUGAGUUCGGGAGAGGGAUGCGGAAUUCCAGGUGUAGCGGUGAAAUGCGUAGAUAUCUGGAGGAACACCGGUGGCGAAGGCGGCAUCCUGGACCGACACUGACGCUGAUGCGCGAAAGCCAGGGGAGCGAACGGG